rnacentral:rRNA from 2 species
UGGAGAGUUUGAUCCUGGCUCAGGACGAACGCUGGCGGCGUGCUUAACACAUGCAAGUCGAACGGUAAGGCCCCUUCGGGGGUACACGAGUGGCGAACGGGUGAGUAACACGUGGGUGAUCUGCCCUGCACUCUGGGAUAAGCCUGGGAAACUGGGUCUAAUACCGGAUAUGAGCUCCUGUCGCAUGGCGGGGGUUGGAAAGGUUUACUGGUGCAGGAUGGGCCCGCGGCCUAUCAGCUUGUUGGUGGGGUAAUGGCCUACCAAGGCGACGACGGGUAGCCGGCCUGAGAGGGCGACCGGCCACACUGGGACUGAGACACGGCCCAGACUCCUACGGGAGGCAGCAGUGGGGAAUAUUGCACAAUGGGCGAAAGCCUGAUGCAGCGACGCCGCGUGAGGGAUGACGGCCUUCGGGUUGUAAACCUCUUUCAGCAGGGACGAAGCGAGAGUGACGGUACCUGCAGAAGAAGCACCGGCCAACUACGUGCCAGCAGCCGCGGUA